rnacentral:rRNA from 1 species
UUCCCGGGUCUUGUACACACCGCCCGUCACACCAUGGGAGUCGGAAAUGCCCGAAGUCAGUGACCUAACCUUUAAGGGAGGAGCUGCCGAAGGUGGAGCCGGUAACUGGGGUGAAGUCGUAACAAGGUAGCCGUAUCGGAAGGUGCGGCUGGAUCACCUCCUUUCUAGGGAA